AGUCAUGAUGUGGGCAAGCACUUAGAAUAACCUUGAAUAUUUCUUAGUAUUUGAAGAAGGUUUCUUCCUCUUUCUGUGAAAAAAUCAUGAUCGUCCUUCUAAGAAU